rnacentral:tRNA from 1 species
GGGGGCUUAGCUUAGCUGGACCAAAGCAAAAAACUCAUAAUUUUGAGAUCGUGGGUUCGAAUCCCACAGCCCCCA